CUUGGACAGGGAAAUCCCCGUGUCACGGAGCAGUGAGGGAAGUAUUCCCAGGUGGCAUGGGUGAUGCUGGCUGUUCCUUUCGAGCUUGGAUCUAACUUCCAGGCUGAAACGCAGUGUGCAGUACAGGACAUCAAGACCCGAGCUAUCUCUGGAGUGACUCUGUUUCUCUUUUAGAGGUGCUAUAGGUGGCUUCAGAGAACGGGUGGAAGCAUCUGCCAUGUGGGGUGCCACAGGCAAGGUGGGCUGUGAUAGUCUUCAGAACAGGAGCAAAGCAGGUCACUUGAAUGCUGUUUGGUUCCUGAGACAGGUGUUGUAGAGGAGAAAAGCUUUAAAUAUUCAAAGCUGAAGCAAAAAUAAAUAAACCACAGCUGCUGAUUCUCCUCUUUCUACUUUCUUGUGCUUUGCCCCUCCUUUUCACCUUUCCCAGGUGAUUAGGUUUGGGUGCUGGGCAGGGCCAAAUGGUAUAUGAGCCCCAGGCAUGCCAUCAGAGAGCUCAUUCUGCCUGGGCUGCACCUUGGGGUAAGUGCUUUGGUUUUCCUUCAGUCAGUUGCAGGGGUCUUUAGGUGGGUCAGAGUCUAUGGACUGAUGGGUUUCCAAGUAGAGAGCGGUACGCCCAUCUUUGUGAGGUAACAACUAAUAGGAUCUGUUAGAGUAAACCAAUCUAGUAAUAGGUGCCUGUAUUGCAUGUAGCUCAUCUUCAGGUGAGUAAUUGUUACAGCAUGUUUACGGAUAGGAUGGCGAUGUUACUUUGUGUGUUUGCUUUGUGGUUCAGGUUCCCUUAUGAUUUUUGCAGAAUUAAGGCAAAUAUUAUCAAAGUUAUAACGUUGGUGGCAAAGUGAUGGAGCAGGGUUUAGGAGAUAAGUAUCAUCGAAGCUCCCUGUAUAAGCAUGUAUCUGAAAACAGCAGCAGUAGGCGUGUAAGGUGUAGUCUUUUUCAGGGUUAGGGACAGUUUGUUCUAUUUUUGGAGCUUUUGCCUGCGGUUUGGCUGGCUGUAGAGUCUUUAGACCUUGCAGCCUUCUAGAUUUUAAGUGCUUGGAAUUCAUGUAAUAGAGGU